UUCUUUCUUUCUUUCUUUUUUUUUUUUUGAACAAGCUUUUCUUUUAACACUUAACACCAGGGAUGAUUUAACAGAAAGUGUCUCAAGUCUGAGCUACAGCCCCCUUAGACUCUACCCAAACAAAGGUACUAAUGUGUGGUCAGUUUCUUGGCAGCCCCACACUCCUCUGAUAACGUCCCUGCUUGGUAUUCUCCAAGGAGUCGGCUGCUGGAAGCUGCUCGAACCUCAUCCCUUGCUGCUCCGGGUGCGGGCGAUGCUCCGACUGCGCGGCGCCAACCACAACAUGCUACCCACCGUGAGAGAGCAGGACGCGGGCUGCUCUAGUCAGGACUUAUCGUCUAUCAUACUGAUUGACGAAACCAAGAGUGAGCAGAAAAAAUAAACACGAACAGAGGCUGCAGUGUAUGAGCCCCGUCAGCUGGGAGUUUUAGUAUUUGGCCUUGGCGAUCGCACUCUCCUGUUUUCUCCACAAGAGCCUCACUCAUUCCUGUUUCAGAAGUUGCCAGAGCCCUGCUCAUAUCCUGUGUAGCCCAGUGGGAGAGAAGCCACAUCAUAUGAGACCCUGUCGGACACAUAAAUGGAAUCCUAGCCAAGUGUCUCAAGCAUAAAGUGUAGACGGCACCACAGAGGGUCUUGGAACUUGGAACUCUUGACUAUAUAUAUCCAAAAUCAGACACAACUUCUGACUGCCUAGAAAACCAAGUGGCACUCACUCACCAAAACUUCAUUCAACUAUGGCACAUGUGUACACUUCAGGGAAAUUCUCAUUACUUGGAACAUGAACUUGCUGCUUCUUUGUCUUCAGUGAAAUAGAGUGAAUAAAAUACAACUUAAACUCA